rnacentral:rRNA from 1 species
UACGUAGGGUCCGAGCGUUGUCCGGAAUUACUGGGCGUAAAGAGCUCGUAGGUGGUUUGUCGCGUUGUUCGUGAAAACUCACAGCUCAACUGUGGGCGUGCGGGCGAUACGGGCAGACUGGAGUACUGCAGGGGAGACUGGAAUUCCUGGUGUAGCGGUGGAAUGCGCAGAUAUCAGGAGGAACACCGGUGGCGAAGGCGGGUCUCUGGGCAGGAACUGACGCUGAGGAGCGAAAGCGUGGGGAGCGAACAGG